rnacentral:rRNA from 1 species
UAGCCGUAAACGAUACUCGCUAGGUGUCGGCCACGGUGCGACCGUUGUCGGUGCCGUAGGGAAGCCGUGAAGCGAGCCACCUGGGAAGUACGGCCGCAAGGCUGAAACUUAAAGGAAUUGGUGGGGGAGCACAACAACGGGUGGAGCUUGCGGUUUAAUUGGAUUCAACGCCGGAAAUCUUACCGGGACCGACAGCAACAUGAAGGCCAAGCUGAAGACUUUGCCGGAUUAGCUGAGAGGUGGUGCAUGGCGUAGUCGUGU